GGAGCUAUGGCUCAGUGGUUAGAGCACUGUCUGCCCAUCCAGAGGACCUGGGUUUGAUUCCCAGCACCCACA
rfam:Mus musculus chromosome 10, GRC primary reference assembly.